AAUAGAUACCCUGGUAGUCCACGCCCUAAACGAUGUUCACUAGGUGUCGGGGGUAACCUUCGGUGCCGCAGCUAACGCAUUAAGUGAACCGCCUGGGGACUACGGCCGCAAGGUUGAAACUCAAAGGAAUUGGCGGGGACCGCACAAGCGGUGGAGCAUGUGGCUUAAUUCGAUGCAACGCGAAGAACCUUACCAGGGCUUGACAUGUAUCUGCAAGCGAUAGAAAUAUCGUCUCCUUCGAGGGUGAUACACAGGUGGUGCAUGGCUGUCGUCAGCUCGUGUUGUGAAAUGUUGGGUUAAGUCCCGCAACGAGCGCAACCCUCAUUGUCUGUUACCAGCGAGUAAAGUCGGGGACUCGGACAAACUGCCUCUGUAAGGAGGAGGAAGGUGGGGAUGACGUCAAGGUCAUCAUGCCCCUUACGCCCUGGGCUGCACACAUGCUACAAUGGCCGGUACAAAGGGGUUGCUAACCGUGCGAAGGUAUGCUAAGUCUCAAAAACCCGGUCUCAGUUCGGAUUGAGGUCUGCAACUCGACCU
rnacentral:rRNA from 1 species